AGUGAACGCUGGCGGCAGGCCUAACACAUGCAAGUCGAGCGGCAGCGCGGGGGCAACCCUGGCGGCGAGCGGCGGACGGGUGAGGAAUGCGUCGGAAUCUGCCUCUUUGUGGGGGAUAACGUAGGGAAACUUACGCUAAUACCGCAUACGACCUACGGGUGAAAGUGGGGGACCGCAAGGCCUCACGCAGAGAGAUGAGCCGACGCCGGAUUAGCUAGUUGGCGGGGUAAAGGCCCACCAAGGCGACGAUCCGUAGCUGGUCUGAGAGGAUGAUCAGCCAAACUGGAACUGAGACACGGUCCAGAAUCCUACGGGAGGCAGCAGUGGGGAAUAUUGGACAAUGGGCGCAAGCCUGAUCCAGCCAUGCCGCGUGUGUGAAGAAGGCCUUCGGGUUGUAAAGCACUUUUGUCCGGAAAGAAAAGCAUUCGGUUAAUAACCGGGUGUCAUGACGGUACCGGAAGAAUAAGCACCGGCUAACUUCGUGCCAGCCGCCGCAGUAAUAC
rnacentral:rRNA from 1 species